CGCGUAGGCGGACAGCUUAGUCAGAGGUGAAAGCCCAGGGCUCAACCUUGGAACUGCCUUUGAUACUGGCUGUCUUGAGUUCGGGAGAGGUGUGUGGAACUCCGAGUGUAGAGGUGAAAUUCGUAGAUAUUCGGAAGAACACCAGUGGCGAAGGCGACACACUGGCCCGAUACUGACGCUGAGGCGCGAAAGCGUGGGGAGCAAACAGGAUUAGAUACCCUGGUAGUCCACGCUGUAAACGAUGAGUGCUAGUUGUCGGCAUGCAUGCAUGUCGGUGACGCAGCUAACGCAUUAAGCACUCCGCCUGGGGAGUACGGUCGCAAGAUUAAA
rnacentral:rRNA from 1 species